rnacentral:rRNA from 1 species
GAUGAACGCUGGCGGCGUGCCUAAUACAUGCAAGUCGAGCGAACAGACGAGGAGCUUGCUCCUCUGACGUUAGCGGCGGACGGGUGAGUAACACGUGGAUAACCUACCUAUAAGACUGGGAUAACUUCGGGAAACCGGAGCUAAUACCGGAUAAUAUAUUGAACCGCAUGGUUCAAUAGUGAAAGACGGUUUUGCUGUCACUUAUAGAUGGAUCCGCGCCGCAUUAGCUAGUUGGUAAGGUAACGGCUUACCAAGGCAACGAUGCGUAGCCGACCUGAGAGGGUGAUCGGCCACACUGGAACUGAGACACGGUCCAGACUCCUACGGGAGGCAGAGGGGGGGAAUUUCCGAAAAGGGGGGAAAGCCUGAGGGAGCAAGCCCGGGUGGGUGAAGAAGGUCUUCGGAUUGUAAAACUCUUUUAUUGGGAAAGAAAAAAUGUGUAAGAAACUAUCCACGUUUUGACGGUACCUAAAGAAAAAGCCCCGGCUAACUCCGGG